rnacentral:rRNA from 1 species
GAGUAAUGCGUGACCGACCUGCCCCAUACACCGGAAUAGCUCCUGGAAACGGGUGGUAAUGCCGGAUGCUCCGACUCCUCGCAUGGGGUGUCAGGAAAGAUUUCAUCGGUAUGGGAUGGGGUCGCGUCCUAUCAGGUAGUCGGCGGGGUAACGGCCCACCGAGCCUACGACGGGUAGCCGGCCUGAGAGGGCGACCGGCCACAUUGGGACUGAGAUACGGCCCACACUCCUACGGGAGGCAGCAGUGGGGAGUAUUGCACAAUGGGCGCAAGCCUGAUGCAGCGACGCCGCGUGCGGGAUGACGGCCUUCGGGUUGUAAACCGCUUUUGAUCGGGAGCAAGCCUUCGGGUGAGUGUACCUUUCGAAUAAGCACCGGCUAACUACGUGCCAGCAGCCGCGGUAAUACGUAGGGUGCAAGCGUUAUCCGGAAUUAUUGGGCGUAAAGGGCUCGUAGGCGGUUCGUCGCGUCCGGUGUGAAAGUCCAUCGCUUAACGGUGGAUCUGCGCCGGGUACGGGCGGGCUGGAGUGCGGUAGGGGAGACUGGAAUUCCCGGUGUAACGGUGGAAUGUGUAGAUAUCGGGAAGAACACCAAUGGCGAAGGCAGGUCUCUGGGCCGUUACUGACGCUGAGGAGCGAAAGCGUGGGGAGCGAACAGGAUUUAGAUACCCUGGUAGUCCACGCUGUAAACGGUGGAUGCUGGAUGUGGGGCCCGUUCCACGGGUUCCGUGUCGGAGCUAACGCGUUAAGCAUCCCGCCUGGGGAGUACGGCCGCAAGGCUAAAACUCAAAGAAAUUGACGGGGGCCCGCACAAGCGGCGGAGCAUGCGGAUUAAUUCGAUGCAACGCGAAGAACCUUACCUGGGCUUGACAUGUUCCCGACAGCCGUAGAGAUAUGGCCUCCCUUCGGGGCGGGUUCACAGGUGGUGCAUGGUCGUCGUCAGCUCGUGUCGUGAGAUGUUGGGUUAAGUCCCGCAACGAGCGCAACCCUCGCCCUGUGUUGCCAGCACGUCAUGGUGGGAACUCACGGGGGACCGCCGGGGUCAACUCGGAGGAAGGUGGGGAUGACGUCAGAUCAUCAUGCCCCUUACGUCCAGGGCUUCACGCAUGCUACAAUGGCCGGUACAACGGGAUGCGACACGGCGACGUGGAGCGGAUCCCUGAAAACCGGUCUCAGUUCGGAUUGGAGUCUGCAACCCGACUCCAUGAAGGCGGAGUCGCUAGUAAUCGCGGAUCAGCAACGCCGCGGUGAAUGCGUUCCCGGGCCUUGUACA